rnacentral:lncRNA from 1 species
AUGGAGCCUUUUAGAAUGAUCCCAGUUUCUAGAAGAAACCCAUGCAGCUCUGGGACUUCAGGACAUAUGGAAUCUGCAUCUUUGUUGCUGACUCCCACUUCUGUUUUAAAAGGCAGCAAGAUAAACAGAAAGUCACAUGCUCCAUCCCUGCAGAAAAGGACCACAGGUUGGACUGGACACUGCCACAGUAGACCUUUCCUCUUAUACAGUUCCAGCAUCCUCUGAAAUUGAGGAAGGUGCAUGAGAACUCACUCAAGAGAUAUUCCUUCCUUUGGAAUAAUGUGUUCUUUUGCUUGAAAUAUGUCUUUGAGAUGCAGAAGUUUUUUUUAACUGAAAUGCACUUGUAUUUCUCUGGUCAACAAAACAAGUGCUUGUUGAUAUCUUUGCUGAGCUGGCAGGCUGGCAGUCUUAUAUAGUAUCACGAAAAGGAAAACACCACUUGUAAUAACAGAUUUAGUAUGAUCACCCUUACUUUAAAGUGAAAAGAAGGAAUCAUACUUCAUCUUAAAAGAACCAUCCAUGUAAUUAUCAUUCCAACUGUAAAU